rnacentral:lncRNA from 1 species
UUUAGAAAGCACAUUUAAUCUUUACUGGCUCCCCUAGGCUUCAGUGAAGAAGGAGAAGGCAAGGGAAAAAAAAAAAGAAGAGAGAGGAAAAAGAUUGUAAGGGAGGCUGCUGACGGACAGCAAGCAUCAGGCACAAAUCAGCGACAAGUUGAAUUUUCCUAGACCACACUGCCCCCUUUCUUCUCGGCUCUCUCCCUAGGCUCCUGGAAAGCCCGAGUGUCUGGUUACAGGAGGAAUCACUUGAUCCCCAAAGUCUUCUGAGAAAAUAUGUGAGGAAAAAGUCAAGUACACACAUCAUGAUGGCAGAGCAGAGAAGAGGUGGCUGAGAACACGUUGAGAAGGCUGUGCUGGGGGUGGAUCUGUCCCAUUUGUCCCUCCCUAUCAUGUUCAGCUGUUUGACACCAGUGAAUUUGG